GGCCUGAUUGCCAAGUGGUAAGGCAAGAGUCUGCAAAACUCUCACCGAGGGUUCGAUUCCCUCUCAGGCCU
rnacentral:tRNA from 1 species